rnacentral:misc_RNA from 1 species
UAAUUAAAAGGUUAUCUAGAAGCAUGCUUGUAUGUUAUAAUUAAAUAUAAGAACUAUGUAGUCAAAGAUGUUGUGUCAAUGUAAUACAUAGGUUUAGAUUUUGCCGAUUCAUUUUUUAUGUGCAUUUGCAUCUGUCAUGUAGAUGGAAUUGAUAUUCUAUUUUCUGUCGUACAUAAAAUCUCAAAUUAGAUUGGAAUUAAUCAAGAAAUUUUCUUGAAUCAAUGUGGUCAUGCUUUAAACAUUGCUUCUGUUACAAA